CUCUUUUAAAAGCACUUUGCUGGGCUUUAAUAUGUAUUUAAAUUCUCAAAAAAGUACCAACAUACAGCUAUUAAGCUGAAUUACAUGGUAUAAGAUUUACAAGGAGUGUUUCUAAUUUAUAUAAACUAAACCUCUAUGCCUCUAUGUUUACAAAGCUUAAAAUUUAAACUUGAAAAUUGGAAACAUGCAAAUAUAUACGAAUGCUAAAACUAUGAACUAUGAAU